rnacentral:tRNA from 1 species
UCCCUGCUGGCUUGGACAGUAAAGAAUCUGCCUGCAAAGCAGGAGACCCAGGUUUGAUCCCUGGGUUGGGAA